rnacentral:rRNA from 1 species
UGGGGAAUAUUGGGCAAUGGGCGGAAGCCUGACCCAGCAACGCCGCGUGAAGGAAGAAGGCCCUCGGGUUGUAAACUUCUUUUGUCAGGGACGAAACAAAUGACGGUACCUGACGAAUAAGCCACGGCUAACUACGUGCCAGCAGCCGCGGUAAUACGUAGGUGGCAAGCGUUAUCCGGAUUUACUGGGUGUAAAGGGCGUGUAGGCGGGAGAGCAAGUCAGAUGUGAAAUUCCAGGGCUCAACCCUGGAACUGCAUUUGAAACUGUUUUUCUUGAGUGAUGGAGAGGCAGGCGGAAUUCCGUGUGUAGCGGUGAAAUGCGUAGAUAUACGGAGGAACACCAGUGGCGAAGGCGGCUUACUGGACGGUAACUGACGUUGAGGCUCGAAAGCGUGGGGAGCAAACAGGAUUAGAUACC